UUUGUAUUACGUACGGAAAUUGUUACCAUUUUUGAGCCGAAAAUGGUAACAAUUUCCGCACGUAAUACCAA
rnacentral:miRNA from 1 species